CCCUUAGAUGUUCUGGGCCGCACGCGCGCUACACUGACGAAUGCAACGAGCUUAUAACCUUGGCCGAAAGGUCUGGGUAAUCUCCAAAUUUCGUCGUGAUGGGGAUAGAUUAUUGCAAUUAUUAAUCUUCAACGAGGAAUGCCUAGUAAGCGCAAGUCAUCAGCCUGCGUUGAUUACGUCCCUGCCCUUUGUACACACCGCCCGUCGCUCCUACCGAUUGAAUGGUCCGGUGAAGCGCUCGGACCGCGGCCUCUUGACGGUUCGCUGUCGAUUGGCUGUGGGAAGUUCGUUAAACCUUAUCAUUUAGAGGAAGGAGAAGUCGUAACA
rnacentral:rRNA from 1 species